GACGAACGCUGGCGGCGUGCUUAACACAUGCAAGUCGAACGCAGUGGCGAACGGGCGAGUAACGCGUAAUCAACCUGCCCUUCAGAGGGGGACAACAGGUGGAAACGACUGCUAAUACCGCAUACUGAAGGAGGGGAUUGCGUCUGAUUAGCUAGUUGGAGGGGUAACGGCCCACCAAGGCGAUGAUCAGUAGCCGGUACUAGAGGAUGAACGGCCACAUUGGGAAUGAGACACGGGCCAGACUCCUAAGGGAGGCAGCAGUGGGGAAUCUUUCGCAAUGGACGAAAGUCUGACGGAGCAACGCCGCGUGAGUGAUGACGGCCUUCGGGUUGUAAAGAUCUGUUAAUCGGGACGCGGUACCGAAAUAGAAAGCCACGGCUAACUACGUGCCAGCAGCCGCGGUAAUUC
rnacentral:rRNA from 1 species